rnacentral:lncRNA from 1 species
CAUACAUUAGCAUAAUUGUAUAUAUUCAUAUUUUCUAUUUAGAACAAAAUAUCAUUCUGAAGAAAUAAAAAUUGAGAUAAAUAACAUAUUAUAUAUUUCUGUAACAGUAUAAUAUGGAAUGAUUAUGGAUUAUGAUUAUUCCAUUUCAUGGGUUACUUUAUAUCAACUACACUGUUUUUUUUUUUUUUUUUUUUUUUCCUAACUUGCCUAUGUGAGAGCAGGGUCUUAGGCUGAUCUAGGUUGAGUUUAGCUUAUGUUGGAUGGGUUUGUUCGAGUGUCAGUAGAUGGCUGGUUUACUUAUGCAUCUGAAAUUUGGUCAGGGCUCUGCUCUAGGUUGUGCUUGCCUAGGGCACCUCAGUUGAUAUUUCUCUGCUUCAGAUGUUGUUCAUCCUCCUCACAGCACCAUAGGGCUACCCCAGACAUGGUUUUGAUGUGGAGAUGUGAGCAGCUCAAAAGCUAGUGAGAUCAACCUUGCAAAAACUUUUCAAGACACUGCUAGUGUCUGGUCAUAUUGGCCAAAGCCAAUCACAAACCAAGCCUAGGGACGAAGAAUGAUACCUAUCCACAGUGGGAGAGCGUUGAAAACUUAGAAGAAGUUAUGGAUAGAUGGAGUGGUAAGGAAUUGGGGCCAUUAAUGCAAUCUAGACAAAGUCUGUAAACUAUGCUAAUUUAAUCUUCUGAGUACUUCCUUCUUUUGUUCCAAGUCUCAAGCUGCUUUUGUUUCCCGAUAUUAUAUGAAUAUUGUUUCUUCCUAUACUGCUUUUGUGAUUACUGUGACUGCUUUUGUGACUAUGACAAAAUAUAUACAAGCCAAACUAAUAUUUUGAUACUUUAUAUGUUCUCAAUUAGCAAUUCAUCAUCCAAAAAAGGAAACAAAUUAUUUUUUUAUAUAUAUAUAUAAAUAUAAACCCGGGAAUUUUACCAAUUUGGUUCAACAAAUUGAAUCAUAAAAAAAUUUCUAGGAUUACCCAUAUUUAAUGUUAUUUAUCGCAUUUCUGAUGACUAAACAUUUGAAUAUGUUACUCUCUAAUUAGCAUACUAAUAUUAAUAUUUCUAGAUAGAUUUACAUGGAUGAAUAAUGUAUUUUCUAUUUUUUGUGGAUUAUAUGUCAUUUUAAAUUGUUUUUUCCAACAAUAACAAAAUCUGAUAAAUUUAGUCUGCUUUCUACUAUUUACUGGAUGUCUCAGAGGCAUAGUUUAGAGAUACGUUGUGUGCAAUAGACAUAUAAAUGAUUUGUUUACAUUACUCCAUAUAAAUGAUUUGUUUGUUUAAUGUCUUGGAAAUUAUUUUAUGUCUUAUGGUUGCUGAUUCUGUUGUCAUCAGAUUACUACAAUAAACAAGAUCUGUAUCUAAUUUGAUCUUCUUUUAACUUCCCUAAACCAAAGGCAGGUGCUAUUAUCUCCAAUAUUUUUUAUGUUAAUGGCAUUUAUAACAAUUUCAUAAUAAAGUAUAACAUUUAUAAUAUUUUAACUUUUCCUUAUUAAAAUUAUUUUUUCAAAAAUUAUGAAAUAUUUUGAGUAAGAAAAACAUAACACAUUAUAAGGAAUACCCGUG